rnacentral:rRNA from 1 species
UACGUAGGUGGCAAGCGUUGUCCGGAUUUACUGGGCGUAAAGAGCGCGCAGGCGGCUGGGCAAGUCCGAUGUGAAAGCUCCCGGCUUAACUGGGAAAUUGCAUCGGAAACUACUCGGCUAGAGUCCGGAAGAGGAGAGUGGAAUUCCUGGUGUAGCGGUGAAAUGCGCAGAUAUCAGGAAGAACACCCGUGGCGAAAGCGGCUCUCUGGAACGGUACUGACGCUGAGACGCGAAAGCGUGGGGAGCGAACAGG